UCUUAUCUACUGAGACAAGAAGGGCUGGGCUGUUCGUUCAUGAAGUCUCCUGGGCAUCUCUUAUCAUGUGAUCCCCAGCCUCUGCGUCCUCCUCCUCCUCACAGGCUCCAGGAUCUCUGGAAUCCAACUCACUGGACGCCCAGCCAGUCAGGCAGGCAGGGAGUGUGGAGGCCUCCCCUCAAGUAAGGACCUAAUGGCUAAAGCUGGGCAUGGGACAGGCCUGUGCAAAGAGAGGAGAGGGAGGAAGGACCAGGGUGUGCUGGAAGCGUAUCCUCCCUCUCCCCGGCCUCUCUCCUCCCACCUCAGAUGGGCCUGGAGGAGAUUAGCUUCACUCACGGCAGUAAUUGUUUGCUGAGUGCUUGCUGUGUUUUAAGCUCAGCAUUUACAAGCAGGUGACAUGGAGAACUCUAGGUGCUGGACAUGCUGUUAGCCCCAUUUCAUGGACGAGGGAAUGGGCGAACAGAGAGGGAAGUCACUGUCCUGGGGACCCACAAUAGGAGGCAGGAUGCCCACCCAGGCUGGCUGUCCCCACGCCAAGAUCUAGGAUGAGUCCUCAGUCAAAGCCAGAGCAGACCCAACGGAACCGCUCAGCCCCCUGACAAGGCAAUGAGUCUCGCCGGCCAGGGGGGCUCUGCCCCCGCCCCCACCCAGGUGGGUCCCCUGCCCCCAGGCUGGCAAGGUGCUGGGGGGCUGAUGCCGGAGCCCCUGCUGCUUGCCGCCUGCCUGCUCAUCUUGUUUGUUCCAAUUAUGUCAAGAAAGGAGAGCGGAUUCUGAUGGAGGCAAGUGGUCUCUGCCCACAGCCUGCUUCUCUCACCCAGCCCAGGAAAGCCAUCAUCUCCUCCUGGGUUUGCAGUCUGGCUCUUUCAUCGUUAUACUGGCCAGUGAUGUUCCAGCAGGUGGCUGGGUCCUGCUGUGAGGACAACAUGGAGCAGAGCCCAGGCUUACCUACAAUGGACAUGCAGUGUGAGUGACAAGAAACCUCUGUGUGCUGAGCUGUUGAAAUCGCCAGGUUGUUUGUUACCACAGUAUAACCUGGCCUAUCCUGACCAUUGCAGGCUCCCUUGCCUACACUUGGUAAGGGAUUGCCUCCAAGAACCACAUCAGCGUGGACCAUGAGCGUAGGCAGAUGAGGUGCAUGCGAACUGCUUAGCCAGCAGCUGCCACAGUGGAAGGUCUAUGUCAUUGCUGCUGCUGCAUGCUCGUUGUGGCUGUGAUUGUCAUCAGCAAAGACCAGCAACAACAAAAGGCCACAGAAGCCCUUACCAUACAUUCUAGAAGGCUUAAGUCUACUCUGGUCAUUUCAACCUUGGGCAGAGAAGGUGGCCUCUUGGAACCUCUCUGAGAUUUCAUUCUCUCACCAGGUGGGUGAGAGGACAGCAAAGAGCCAUGUUACGAAAUUCAAUGAAAGGCUCAUUUCCUACCCCUGGGGAAAGCAGCAAAGCCAGGCUGACACCAAGGAGUUCUAAACAGAGGAGGGCCUGACUUGCUGGCCGGGUGGGCAGAGGAAGACAGGGAGCCCAGUGAUAACGCCUGGCUGGAGGUGGAGCCACGGUUGCCAGGGUACUUGUGCUGUGUAAGGAAUCCCUCAAAACAUUAGGGCGCCCAGCAGCCAUCGUAUUACGCUCACAGAUCCUAUGGCUCAGAAUCACACAAGGCACAGCACAGAUGUCUUGUCUCUAUUCCAGGAUGCCAGGGCCUUCUGGAAGUGCCUGUUUGGCAGUUGGAGCUGGCUGGGGGCUGGGACGUAUCUGGACUGUCUGCCACAACACCAACCCACAGCCCCCUUUCGGGCUACUUGGACUUCCUCACAACAUGGCGGCCCUGGGCAGUCAGAUGCUUACACAGCAUCUCAGGGCUAUAGCACGAAGGCACCUGCAUCACCUUCUGUGACCUAGCCUUGGAGGCCACGCAGCGUCUCUUCUGCCACAUUCUAUUAGUUGUGAGUGAGUCAUGAACGUGCUCAGAUUCAGGAGGGAGAGAACAUAAACCCCACUCUCCAGCAGUGGGAGGUAAAGGUCAUAUGGGAAGAAUAUCUUGUGGGAUGGGAGAAAUUGCAGAGGCUGUCUCUGGAAAAUGCCAUCUGUUACAAGGGACUUAGACCACCCCCGUCCCACCUCUCCUCCAGGCCUGGGUCCUUCCCAUGGCCACCUGCUGACCACUGGGGACUUCUGUGUCAUCCCUCCAGCUCUGAAGAUUCCUCUCAGUGAACUUCUUAGCUAAGCCUGCCAGCCCACAGCCUUCUCUCGUGUCCUGCCUGGCGAGGGGUCUGGCUGGUGUUGAAGGCAGCCCCAGGGCCUCACCUCACACUGCACAAUGACCCACGGUGCCCUGGACAAGAGGCUGCCCUUGGCAUUCCAGGCAAAAAGUCGCUUCCCUGAAAUGUUCUCCAGUGGGAAGCUAAGAGCGUGCCUGCCUCCCAUCCUGACCUCCUGCCCCUUCAGAAGCGUCCCUGCAGCUCCUGCCUGCACCUGGCAGGGAGCACCGCUACAGAGUUUGCUGCUGUACCGGCUCAGAAACGGGAGUUCCCGGCACAGGGCCAUCGGCGAGCCUCCCAGCUGGAGUGUGGGCAGAGGCAGACACUGGGGCUGCAGGGGAGUGGCCCCCAGGGUGUGAAUAGGAGGGCAUCCUGCAGGCUCCAGACAUUGCCAUGCGUGUUGCUGUGAUUAACCCCCAAACCCAGCUCCAUCAUUCAUUCACUCCUUCAUUUGUUCAUCCUAUUGUCCCAGGAGCUGGGCUAUAACAGAAAGGAGACAGGCCACAGACAGACAGGCAAGGCCAUCCCAGGCAGUGAGAGGCGACGUGAACUCUGUGAACUGAGAUGAUGAGGAAGAGAGGAGAAGGGCGGGGCCGCUUUAGAAAGGCUGCUGGGGAUGUCCUGUUUGAGGAGGUGACCCUGUCACUGGAGCCAAGCCAAGAGCUGGGGAAGAGCAUGUCAGGCCCCAAGAACUGCAGGUGCAAAGGCCCUGAGGCAGGACCCUAGCAGGACCCUAGCAGGUGCAGGUGCAGGUGCAAAGGUCCUAAGGCAGGACCUGAGCAGGUGCAGGUGCAAAGGCCCUGAGGCAGGACCUGAGCAGAUGCAGGUGCAAAGGCCCUGAGGCGGGACCUGAGCAGGUACGGGUGCAAAGGCCCUGAGGCAGGACCCGAGCAGGCAUGUCUGAGGGUCAUAGGAAGCCUGUGUGCCUGGAGCAGAGGGUACAAGCCCAACGUGGAGCUUGUGCAUGGCUCUCCACUGCCUCCCAACUCAGUCCAGGGGCUUCUGCUCGGCUUUCAAUGCCCUCCACUGUGGGGGCCCUGCCACACCUCCCCAUUCUCUGGGGGCCCCAGGAUUUCCCACAUCCUUGUUUUUUCCCAUAUUGCAUUAGGAUUUGACUUUAUUAUUUAAACAAGAAGCAGAGGCCCCCACUCCUUAGGGCGGAAACGUUGCUCAGAAUCACAUCCUGGAGGAUGGAGUGAAAGGGAUGUUGGUCUUAGAAGCCCUAAGAGAAGACGGCACAGAGUGGCUGGACUGGGGGUGGGGGUGGAAGAGACUGAGGAAGGCCAGGUGGACAAGGCGGGGUGGGGCCCACAGUCCUCAUUGCCACAGGGCUUUGCCAUCUUGCCAAGGAGCCAACUUGCCCUGAUUCCACGGAGCAGGCCACUGGGACUUCCCACUUCUGUGGGGGCGCUGCGACUGCCUCCAAGAUCCUCCCCAAAUCUCUCUGGGCCUCAGUGAGGUGCCUGGGGAAUGGAUUUAAGAUUGGUGGCCCAGUUUCCGGACAGCUGGGAGAUGAGCUCAGCCUUACUAAUGUGAUCGAAGUUGCCAACCCCUGCCCCGCACAUCCUCAGGGGACCCUAGGCUGCUGGCCACCAGCAAGGUUGUCUUGUCUGUUUGAUCUUCGAUUCCUGAGGGUAGUGGGCACCUCGGUAGGUGAUCCUGCCCAAAUCCCGCCUCCGCUUGUCCUCUUGGCAGGGCGGCCUCCCUCCCGCAUACCACAGCCUUCCUGCAAUGCUGCGACUCGGGUUCAUUCCAGGGGAUCCUUGAGCGCUGGCGGCACAGAGGGGCCAACCUUGAACUCAGCAAAGAGGAAUGCUUGACUCCUCUCCAGCUGGAAGGCUGUACCUGGGCUAAGAACUGAUGAGCCUGCUUGAAGGAAACACUCCGUGCUUUUGUUAAAGGGGAAGGGAAAAUAAAAUCCCAAAUCAACCUUGGAUCAAUGUCUCUUCCCCAGACGGCAGCCCAAGGCCUCUGCGGCCUCUGCAUCAGUCAGCUGGGAAAGCGGCACAGCCCCUGGGACUGUGGCUGGGCCAGCCAGCCUCCACCCAGACAGAGCCCGCAGCAGGCCGUUGAUUCACCGUUCCCCAGCAAAAGCGUCAUCCUGAGUCCCAUGGAAGAGACUGGUUAAUCUCUUACUGUGUAAUUAAUCUCUUACUGUGUACCAGGCACAUGCAUACAUCCCAUAACGCAUUCAGCCUCACACCAUCUACUUUACAAAGCACAUAGCACUACUGUCUUCAUCUGGCAGUUAGCAAACCUGUGGCCCAGAGGGGUGGACCAAUUUACUCAUAGCCACAUAGCUGUCAGGAGCUGAGAUACAAGCCCAGGCGUGGUGGAUCCAAAGCCUCUUGUCCUGGCUGGGCAUAAUGGCUCACACCUGUAAUCUCAGCACUUUGAGAGCCUGAGGCAGGAGGAUUGCUUAAGGCCUGGAAUGUAAUAUCAGCCUGGGCAACAUAGCAAGACCCUGUCUUUAUAGAAAAAAUUUUAAAAAUUGGCCAGGCAUGGUGGUGUGCCUGUGGGCCUGGCUACUUGAGAGGCCGAGGCGGGAGGACUGCUGGAGUCCAGGAGUCUGAGGCUGCAGGGAGCUGUGACUGCGCCAGUGCACUCCAGCCAGGGUGAAAGAGUGAUGCCCUAUCUCAAGAAAAAAAAAAAAAGCUCUUGUCCCAAACCCUAUAUCACCAGGUCCGUAGAAGCAGGAGUGUAUUGAAUCCAUUAGGGAGGCACUUGGCUACAAGUAACAAAAACCUUGGCUCACAGUGGCUUAAAGCAUAAGGUCAUUCAUUGUUUAUUUCGGAGGACAUUGAGAAGCAGGCAUAGCCCAGGUGGGUUCACUAGUUCCUCAGUGUCAGGAUACAGGGCUGGCAUCUCUGCAAUUCUCUUAGCCUUCUCCUCAUGGUGGCACCAUGGCUGCCACAGCUGCAGACAUCACUUCAUCCCACAAUGACAUCCAAAGGCAGGAAGGAAGGUGAGGUGGGAAGGAGGCAAAAGGGACCAAACCUCUCUUCCUGUAACCUUCUCAUUUUCUAGUGAGACCUUUUUCCCAGGAGCCGCCAGCAUACUUCCCUCACGUUUCUGGCCAGAAGUGGAUCACAGGCCUUCCCCGGAUUACUCAGGCCCAGAGGGUGCAAUGUGGUCCCCACUACAUGGUAGACAGGAUUUGAACUAAACAACAGUUCGCUGGAGUGGAAAAUAAAGGAUGCUACAUUUUCUUAUUGUGAUAAAAAAUAUAUAUCAUAAAAUUUACCAUUUUAACAAUUUGUAAGUAUACAGGUUGGUAGCAUUAAGGACAGUCACAUUGUUGUGCAACCACUACCAUCCAUUUCCAGAAUUUUUUCAUCUUCCCAAACUGAAACUCUGUCUCCAUUAAACACCAACUCUCCACCUGGCUCCUGCCAGCCCCUGGCUCCCACCAUUCUACUUUCUGUAUCUGUGGAUUUGACUAUUCUAAGGUUGGACUAGUCCAACCUGUACAUAAAUUGAAUCAUACAGUAUUUGUCCCUUUGUGGCUGGCUUAUUUCACUCAGCACAGUGUCCUCAAGGCUCAUCCAUGUUGUGGCCCGUGUCAGAAUAUCCUUCCUUUUUCAAGGCU
rnacentral:lncRNA from 1 species